CCUGUCUCCUCAUUAGCACUAAGCCUCAUGACCUCAGCUGUCUGGUAAGUGUUGUGGAAGCCCUUGCAAUCUAGCUUAGACAUAAAAAGGGAGUACAUCUGGGCACCGUGAGGGACAGAAACCAGGAACUGGAACCAAAAACCGGAGACUUUAUUGGAGGGAAGGAUUGGGAGGUGGGAGAAGGGGGGACACUUGAUCUUCUGUAAAGGAAGAGUCCCAAACCCCUCAGCCUGGCACUCAAAGCCUGCCCUGGCCGUGUGGUUUCCUACCUUACCAACAGCACCUCUUGAACGUUUCUCCUCAAAAACACCAUGAACAUUCAUGCUUCUUUUUCCUCAUAUCAUUCAAAAAAUAUGAUUUUAAAUUAUAAGGGGCCUUAUGAAAUAAAAAUGUCUAAGAAAAGAAAUAUAUCUCAUUAAGAUGAAGGCCUCAUUUUCAGUAAGAUGUAAGUAAAAUAAAACUUACAUCCUGACUUUUUAGAAAAUGCUCUGUUAUGUAACCUAUAACUAGGUGGUAUGGCAUAGAAGUUUCUUCCACUAUAUAUUGAUGGAGUUUCAAAGAUAUGAAGGUGCUGUGGUCUGGAUGUACCACCAAAUUCUGGUGUUGAAAUCCUAACCCUCAAAGAGGUGGGGCCUUUGGGAGGUGAUUAGAUCAUGAGGGUGGAUCCCUUAACUCUUCCAUUAUAUGAGGACAAACCAAAAAACUGAACCAAGUCUGAACUAGGAAGCUGGCCCUCACCAAGCACCGCACCUGCCAGCACCUUGGACUUCCCAGCCUCCAGAACGGAAAGAAGACCAAGAUGUAAGCACACCUGAGCAGAUCCUUUUCCAAGUAUCCUGAUGUCUCCAAGGGCUGUUCAGAUUCCAAAGAGAACUAUCUACAAGUUAAUCUCUGUUACUGGAGUCAUUCAUUCUCCGUAGUAAUCUGCUCCACAGAAUUCCUCUUCUCUUCCCUCCCAUAACCUGUUUUACCAGGAUCCAAGCCUCCAUUCUUUCUGUAACCUCAUUGGGAAGUUGGUUCUUCAUUUGGAAGGCUCCCAUGUGUACAUGUUAAAUAAAUAUCUAUGCCUUUUCUUCUGUUAAUCAGUCUGCUUCAGUCAGUGAUUUUUAGUGAAACUUUAGGGG
rnacentral:lncRNA from 10 species